UCUAGAACUCCAGAUAUGGGUUGAACACUGAACAAUGUCUAGGUUGCACGACAAGCUCAAACUUCUUUUUUGUUGCUAAGAAUUGAACAGGAAAACAAUAUUAUUGAGUAUUGGGCUCUUCAUGAAUAUUUUAGGGUUACAUUCUAGCUUUCUAUC
rfam:Populus trichocarpa scaffold_2_contig_37, whole genome shotgun sequence.